rnacentral:lncRNA from 10 species
AAAAUAGUUCUCUGCCUGUCGAAUUAUAUGCUUAAGUGGGGUCUUUUCUGUGAACGACGUCCUGCCUGGCAGUAGCAAUGGCGUGGAUGGCAGCCCUGUUCCACGUGCUGCCUCCUCUGCAGGUUAGCAGAUCUUUGUCACACACGCACUGGUGUCCCGGCGUACUUUGGGAGGAUCAUUUGAAAUCUGGCCAGCUUGGAACCCAUUUAAAAAGGAAGAAACUUGUCAGGAGAGAGUUGGGAGUAGUAGAAAUUAUCUUCCAAAAAAUAUUCGUGACAGUAUAAAAAAGAGAGACUGGGCUGGGCUUGGUAGCUCAUGCCUAUAGUCCUAGCACUUUGGGAGGCUGAGGCGGGCACACCCCUUGACCCCAGGGGUUCCAGACAAGCCUGGG